UACGGGGGGAGCAAGGCGUUGUUCGGAUUUACUGGGCGUAAAGGGCGCAGUAGGCGGUCAGCACAAGUCAGUUGUGAAAUCUCCGGGCUUAACUCGGAAAGGUCAACUGAUACUGUGCGACUAGAGUGCAGAAGGGGCAACUGGAAUUCUCGGUGUAGCGGUGAAAUGCGUAGAUAUCGAGAGGAACACCUGCGGCGAAGGCGGGUUGCUGGGCUGACACUGACGCCGAUGCGCGAAAGCCAGGGGAGCGAACGGG
rnacentral:rRNA from 1 species